AUACGGAGGAUCCGAGCGUUAUCCGGAUUUAUUGGGUUUAAAGGGUGCGCAGGCGGGUGAUUAAGUCGGCGGUGAAAUUUUUCAGCUCAACUGUUGAAGGGCCUUCGGAACUGGGUUUCUUGAGUGUGGAUGAAGUAGGGGGAAUUUGUGGUGUAGCGGGGCAAUGCAUAGAUAUCACGAGGAACUCCGAUUGCGCAGGCAGCUUACUAAACUACUACUGACGCUCAGGCACGAAGGCGUGGGGAUCAAACAGGAUUAGAUACCCUGGUAGUCCACGCAGUAAACGAUGAUUACUAGCUGUUUGCGAUACAAUGUAAGCGGCUGAGCGAAAGCGUUAAGUAAUCCACCUGGGGAGUACGUUCGCAAGAAUGAAACUCAAAUGAAUUGGCGGGG
rnacentral:rRNA from 1 species